rnacentral:rRNA from 1 species
GACGAACCGUGCGAACGUUAUUCGGAAUCACUGGGCUUAAAGCGCGUGUAGGCGGGCCGGCACGUCGGUCGCUGAAAUCCCCCGGCUCAACCGGGGAACCGGCGCCGAUACGACCGGCCUGGAGGGGCGUAGGGGAUCGGGAACUUCCGGUGGAGCGGUGAAAUGCGUUGAGAUCGGAAGGAACGCCCGUGGCGAAAGCGCGGUCCUGGACGCCUACUGACGCUGAGACGCGAAAGCCAGGGGAGCGAACGGG